rnacentral:lncRNA from 1 species
GAAUUCUAGACCUACUAGUAUUUAAGGGAGCCUUGUUUCAUCACCGUAUCAUCACCUACAAGCUUAACUCUCCACAUACAUUAUAUUUUGAGAUCAAACAACUUAUCAAUCGAAAACAAUGGAAGGAAAAACUUUGGUUCUAAGUGUGCUCGUAAUGAGUUUGUUCAUAGCGCAAAUCAACGCUAAGAGCUGUUGUCCAUCCACCACUGCUAGAAACAUCUAUAAUACUUGCCGCUUUGGAGGAGGUUCAAGGCCAGUAUGUUCAGGCCUCAGUGGCUGUAAAAUCAUCGGUGGGACGAAAUGUCCUAAUGGAUAUACACAUGACACUCUCGAAAACACAGGUACAUUGAUUACUAUUGCGAAAUAUUACGUUUGUUACAAGACGAAUAGAGAUUUCAUUUGCUUGAUGUGUUUAUUUCUUUUUGUCUCAAGGUAAUGCUGUCGAUGCUUACUGCAAGUUGGGGUGUAUAUCCUCAGUAUGCAGUGCCUUAACCACUCUCCAGAAUUCUGGUAAAACAAACUUCUCAAACUCUUUUUCACUAUCACUUGCUUUUUUAUAUAUAGUUCAUCGAAAAAAUACAAGUCAUUCAAAUUUUGUUUUGAUGACUAGAUGCAAGUGAAAUCGUGAGUGGAGCGGUUGACAGAUGUGCCAACGCAUGUUCUACAGUAUGUACCAAGGACUCCAUGAAUGCAGUUGAAACUGCAUAGACAAGAGCAUGAAAAUAUCACGGGUGAAGGAGGUUCACAAUGUUGUUUUUCAUGCUUUCAAUAAUUGUCAUGUAUGUGAUCUUGCAUGUUUGUGUAUGUGUGUAGAGAAGGUGUCAAUCGCUAGAUUGUAUAUGCCUUCCACUAUGUAUCUUUUCAAUAAUGAAUAAAUGUUUGUAUUAAUCUUAUGCUCAUAUCAUGACAACAUAUGCUACUUAAUUUUUUUUUUGAUCGUCAGUGAACUUGAGUAGUUAGUAUACUCUUAAUAAAAUUCAUUUUUUCAACUUUACAUACUAAUUAAAAUAAAUAUUAUAUUUGUCUUACUAAUUAAUAUAUCAUCAAUAAUUGUAAUAUAUUUACUACCAUGAGAGAUAAUAACAACAAGAUUAAAUGUUAAAUAGAAAAAUAACUUUUCAAAAGUUAUAGAGUGGUAAACACGUAAACAAUAGAAUCACUAGAAACCAUUACUUUUAAUUUGAAUUUGAAUUCGGCAGAGGAAGAUAAACAUUAAUUGCAAAUCUUGAUAACAUCCCAAAAAAAGCUUCACUAUCUCGAUACCAUAGCCUUCUCUGGCUAUCAAAGGUAAAUUUACAGCUUUAGCCAUAAACCUGUUAUGUUUCAGACUGGUAUUAGCUAGUGAGUCCAAGAAAGAAGAUUGAGGAGAAAUGUCUUGGCUUUGAUAGAUGAAACACAAGCUGGAAGAAAUUAGAGAGUCAGAGAGACUUGAAGCAACAAUUAGAUCAAACAAUUGUUUAAUAGUCGGAAAAUAAUGCCACAACUGUCACAAAUAUUUGUCCUUGGUUCCUAGAAAUUAGUCUUUUGGGAUCACACUACUGAGUAAUAAAAAAAAGAAAGGUCACAUAUAUGUAGUCCUAAAUUGCAAGGUCUUUUUUGUAGUAAAAAGUUUUCUUCACCGGCACAAAAUGAUUGGGUAAAAAAACACAAACUCAUCUUUAGUGUUUAAAUAAUUUAUAAAUGAAUAUGGUUAGGCCAAAAAAUAAAAGAAUAAACACUAUGUUAUUUCCCUAUCCAAAACUAUUUUUACUUACUUCUUAUUAAAGAUAGUUUUUACUUGCAAGACAAAUUAAUUUAUAUUUAUGAGGGCUAAACGUCAAUGUCAAAGUUUGUUAAAGUUUCUUGACAUAGUGAUGAUAAAUGUUUACGACUGUGCUGAUCGCAAAUUUGUUCUAAUUGUUCUGCUCUUAGACAUCUUAUUUUUACUUUCUCGAUACUUUAUCUUUCUUGUUCUCUAGGUCAUAAGAUUCAAGAACUCAUCUUCAUAGCAGGCAACCCCAUUGAAAGGAAUAGUAAUCUUCUCAAAUUGAAUGUGUGGUUGAAAAAUAAAUAAAUGAAUUAAUGAGAACAUAUAUUCUAUUUGGUCCCAACAUAUAAUACUGAAACACAACUUAAAACACGUUGGUAACAAACGUUUUGGAUUUUUGUAUGAUAAAUUGAAUUUGUCAUCACCUAGGAUCUCUACAUAACUACAAGAGAGUUUGUUAGAAACAAAAUAAAGAAACACAAAACACGUUUGUAACAAACAACAUUCUUAUCUUUCCCUCUUCAAUCUAUACUCAUAUAGUCAUAAGUACGCUUCUUAAUUAAUUAUUCUUCGAGAUUAUUAUCUGUAAAUGUUUUUAUAUGUCGUUCAUAUACCAACUAAAUCUUAACAGUAAAAUCUUAACGUUUUAUAAUUCAAAAUACUUUGAGCCUUGAGGUAAGCCGACCGUGUUAGACUUCUUUGCAUGUUCGUAUUCUUACACAGUUUGGAUCAAACCCUGCGGUAAACUUCUUUGAUCAAGAAUCACACAAGAUAGGAGCAAAGCGAUUCAUUGCCUCAUAAACUUUAGACCGCACGAAUACACAAACAUGUAAUAGCAAAUUGUAAAAAUAAUAUUAAGUACCAAAAUUCAAAUAUUAAGUAACACAGAAUUUUAAGAGGUCUUUUCUUCCUAUCUAACCAAAGUUUAAAAAAAAAAAAAAAAAAAGAAAAGAGAAGAGAGUAAGUUCCCGGACGUGAAGGGUAGCAGCCAUUGUGAUAAGGUGGACCAUGCAACGUGUAGAGAGUCUAUUAGAGCAAUGUGACUCAAGGAGGAUCAAAUCAAGUCAAGUUUGUGGUUGCAAAUUCUAGACCUACUAGUAUUUAAGGGAGCCUUGUUUCAUCAUUGUAUCAUCACCUACAAGCUUAACUCUCCACAUACAUUAUAUUUUGAGAUCAAACAACUUAUCAAUCGAAAGAAUGGAAGGGAAAACUUUGGUUCUAAGUGUGCUCGUAAUGAGUUUGUUCAUAGCGCAAAUCAACGCCAAGAGCUGCUGUCCAACCACCACUGC